UACAGAGGUCCCAAGCGUUGUUCGGAUUCACUGGGCGUAAAGGGUGCGUAGGCGGUCGGGUAAGUCUGACGUGAAAUCCCGCAGCUCAACUGCGGAACUGCGUCGGAUACUAUUCGGCUUGAGGGAUGGAGGGGAGACUGGAAUUCUCGGUGUAGCAGUGAAAUGCGUAGAUAUCAAGUGGAACACCAGUGGCGAAGGCGAGUCCCUGGACAAUUCCUGACACUGAGGCACGAAAGCUAGGGGAGCAAACAGG
rnacentral:rRNA from 1 species